AAGCUUCGAACUAAAACUUUCUUAUUUUAGGUACCGUUUGGUUCGAAUAUAAGCAAUAACUAGCUAUUAGAGGAAUAGGUACAAGUAUGGGGAUAAGAAAAAUAGUAUUUGGAUGAAAAUUGGGUUGUUCCCGGGAUAAGAAUAAUUUUAGAUAGUUUUAUAUAGAAAAUAAAGGUGUUAGUGGGGAUAACCGAUAAUUAUUAUUUUCGAAUAAAAAAUUAGUGUUUGGGUAUAAAGGGGGAUAAGGGCCUAUUCCUAUUCCUAUCCCCUAAUCAAAUACUGUCUUACAAAAUUAUUUUAUUGUGGGCUAUG
rnacentral:lncRNA from 1 species